rnacentral:rRNA from 1 species
UACAGAGGUGCCAAGCGUUAGGCGGAAUCACUGGGCUUAAAGCGUGUGUAGGUGGAUGCCUAAGUACCUUGUGAAAUCCCACGGCUCAACCGUGGAACUGCUGGGUAUACUGGCGGUCUUGAGCCACCUAGGGGCGAGCGGAACAAACGGUGGAGCGGUGAAAUGCGUAGAUAUCGUUUGGAACGCCAACGGUGAAAACAGCUCGCUGGGGGUGUGCUGACGCUGAGACACGAAAGCCAGGGGAGCGAACGGG